UAAAGCCCUCAACAUAGUUAUAAUUUUUACUUUAAACAGUUCUAAGUAUUUUAAAUAAAGAAAAGAAAUUUACAUAUGUAGUUUUUCAUACGAACCCACAUACUUGACUUUUCUAGUGAUCUUCAUUCCUUCAUUUGUCAUUUCCCUUUAACUUGAGGAAUUUCCUCGAGCAUUCCUUGUGAUGCAGUUCUACUGGAAAUGAAUUCUCACAGCUUGUUUAAUUUAAAGUGUUUAAUUUCAUCUUCAGUUUUGAAAAGUACUUUCACUGGACACAGAAUCCUGAAUGACAUCGUUUUUUCAUUCAUCAUUUUAAAGAUGUGGUUCCUUUCUGUUGGGUUUGCUUUGUUUUGGUUUUUGGCCUUCAUUUUUCCUGAGGAGAAGUCGGUCAAUAUUCGUAUCAUUUUUUCCCUUUGUUCUACAUGCUCUUCUUCUCUGCCUGAUUCCAUCAUUUUCUCUUUAUCUUUGGAUUUUGGCAUUUUUACUACAGCGUGUCUAGGUUUGACUUUCCUUUUGUUUGUUCUUUGGAUUUACUGAGAUUAUUGGAUGCUGCACAAAAUUUGGAAAGAUUUUGCCCAUUAUUUCUUAAAUUAUAUUUUCUGCCCCUUUCUGUUUGUCCUUUACUUCUGAGACUCUGAUUACACAUAUGUUAGAAUACUCGAUACUGCCCCAUGGGCCUCUGAGGCUCUCAUCAUUUUCUUUCACUCAUUUUUCUCUCUAUUCUUUAGAUUAGAUAAUUUCCAUUGAUGUAUCUUUAACUGACUUUUCCUUUAGCUAUAUUCAAUCUUCUCUUAAAUCCAUGCAGUGAUUUUAUUUUCUCUGUUACUAUACUUCACAAUUCUAGAAUUUCCAUUUAGUGAUUCUGUACAGUUUCUAUUUCUCUGCUAAGACUCCACAUACUUUAAUUUAGUAUAUGUAUAUUUGCCUUUAUAUCUUUGAUCAUAUUUAUAAUAGCUAUUUUAAAAGCCUUGGUCUGCUAAUUAUAACAUCUGAGCCACCUCAGGGUGUGUUUCCAUUGACUGAUUUUGUUUUCUUGAUGUUGGUCAAAUUUUCCUUUCACUGCACAUUUAGUAAUUUUUUUAUUUUAAUACUGCACAUUAAGAAUAAUAUGUUAUUAAGGCUCUGAAUUUUGUUACGUUCCUCUGAAGAGUGACUUUUGCAAUAGCAGGCAGUUCAUUUGGCUGGACUCAAACUGCAAACUCUGUCUCCUAUGUGGUAGGUAGCAGCUAAAACCUCUUCUCAAUUAUCUCAUUUUCCACUGCUGCUUUUUUGUUGUGCUCUCUAAGAUCUCCCACUAUAUGCUGUUCGAUAGAAAUCUAAAGAUCUGGAAAGAGUUUAUACACACUUGGGGUUCACUUCUUUUGCAAAUCUCACCUUUCUAGGAUUUAUCCCCUAACUUUCUGGCUGUUCAGCCAGCUCUCAAAACUGUCUCCUGACGCCUCAAGCCAAGAAGCCUAUAGCUUUCUGCCACCAGAACCAUACUCCAAUUCGGGAGCAACCUCAGGCAAAAGGACACAAAAUUCCGAAUCUCACCUGUUGUAAUCCUCCUUUCAAAGUCAGAUCCUUGUCCUCUAAGUCUCUCAACAGUAACUGCAAGUUGUUUAGGGUUUUUUGAGGGUGUUUCCUUUUUGUUCUGAUUUUACACCGUUAUCCACAGGAGGGUUAAUCUUAUCAAACUAUUUCACAUUCCAAAACUAUAAAUUGCACUAUGCACUUUAAAGGCUUUAUUUCUGCAAACCAUGGGUAUGUUUGUAUAAUUCAAAUAAUCCACAACUUCAACUUCUACCAUCUCUAAAUAUCUCAAAUACCAGUAAAUCUUGAGAUCAACAAAAAUAAAAGUAAAAACAAAAGCAAAACCCUGAGUUAGCACUAUUGAAAACCAAUAAUCCUGCUUCGUAUUUCUGCCCAUAGUCUCAGAAACACGAUGCCUAGGUAGCAGUUGAUAGUAGCAGAUCUAUUUUUACUCUGAAGGGAAAAAAGGAUAACUUCAUAAUUUAAUUAAAAUGUGAAAUUUCUCCAAUUUUCAAAUUAAAAAUUUAGUGCAGCUCUAUCCAAAAGAACGUUCUCGAAUGAUGGAAAUGCUUUUUCCAUGACUUAUAUGGUAGCCACUAGGCAGAGAUAGCUAUAUGUGUCCAAUGUUACUAAAAAACUGAAUUUUUUAUUAUACUUAAUUUUAAAUAAUUUAAAUUUAAGUAGCUACAUAUGGCUGAUGCCUGCUACACUGGGCAGCACAGGUAUAGCGCAAAUGAAACAAACAAGAGAUUGAAAUCAACAGCAGGGAGAAGUCAUUUUUGAUGAGAUAAUAGAGAUUAUAUUAAUACGGUUUAAUAAGUCAAAGAAAGAAAGAAUUCAGAGACUUUAUAAUAUAAAGACAAUAUUUCAUUAUUCUUCAAUAUACCAUUUUUCCCCAAAACAUUUCACAGCAUUUAUACGGCUGCUGUUUCUGAACUAUAUUUUUAGGAACAAGAAGCAAAUGACAAGACAGAAAAAUUAUCAAAUGAACUUAUUAAUAAAGUAAACAUUUCAUCACGUAGAUUGUGUAAUAAUUAUGGCCCCAAGUCAAGUUAAAACUGACCUGUAGUACACUUGAUUUAUUACUGUAAAUUUGUAUAUAAGGAAGAGUCACAUCUUACUUAGAGGUGAAAAUUCAGGCUAAAGUAAAAAACAAGAUGGUCUGAAGCACCCUUGAACAAGAAUUCCUGUAUAUCUGCCAUAAAAUAAAGCAUGGUAUUCACUCAAUAAAUUCACUAAAGAUCGUUUCUCCUCCCAGACUGGAAUAGAUCAUUGUUUCCGAGGCUGAGCAACGGAGGGUGCAGUCAUCUUGUAUUUAGAUGCCACACUGGGUGAUAGCGUUUCCUGCAUCUAGACUCCCAGAAUCCCACUCAGAGAGGAGGGGUGUGCCUGCUCUGAGACACAGGACUGCGGCCAUUUAAAGAACCAACAUCCCAGGCCUCUCAUGACACUGUCACCCCAUGGCAGUGCUCAUCGAGUGGAAGGAAGAUAGGGGACAUCGCUAUGAACUGUUUCAACUCUCUCUCCUGUUUUCUCUUGCUCUCGCUCUCUCUCUCUGAUAAUUUCCCUCAGAAAUUUAUGUACUUGAAUUUAAGCAAGCUAAGCAUUCAGAUGUGAAACUCCAUUACAGUGUAUUUGAGGAAAUUAUCAGUAAAAACGGAUAGAAAUCAAAGUUUGGGGCCCUAAUUGUUUACGUUUCAGUUACCCAGAAAAUCCAAACUGCCUCCUUCUUUCCCCAUACUAGAUAAUUAAGGCUUGAGACUAUUCUUGGAUUCAGACGGAAAAGAGAGUAAGGAUGUUAGAUCGUCUCUGAGCACAAACAAUUUCCAUCCAGAAAGAGUGACCAAUUGAAAGCAUGUCCUGAUUAAGGUGUUGGCACAAACUGUCUGCCAUGCUUCUAGUCUUAGAGUGCAUUUAAUCUGACACAUUUCCCCUCUCUGUGUGUGUCUCUUCUGGUUUCUAUUGGAAUUACCAGGGCUACCCAAGGAGUGCAGUUAUGUCCAUGCUAUAGCAGAAAGCGAUAGAAGCCUGGAUCAGCAUUAAACAUCUGUUUCGGGAAGUCCUGAUUUACAAUAAAAUAUUUCCAAAUAUGUUAGGAAGACAGGACACAACUUAUAAUUUAAUUAUGCUUAACUCAUUCUCAACAGCAAUAUCUGAUACUUAUUUUUAAAAGACUAGUGUAUGAAUACUUUUCUCUCCUUGACCACUUACCCUCUUGAUUUUUCACUAUGGACCUGAUAGUGGUGGUACUAACAGUACCAAAAUGUACGAAGUACUUUAUACAACAUAUAAAGUCAUGAUCUUGGCCUUCAGAAAACCAUCUUUACUCUUCAUGUAUGAUUCCUUUUGAAUCUCAAGUUGAACCCUCUACCAAAAGUACUUCUCUACAUUGACUAGAACUGGUUUGUUGACUAUACCAGUUGACAAGAAAAGCUGUGUUUUUAUUUGAGGAUGGGAUGGUUUUUCAUUUUGAAUUAUUGCUUGGUUUUCUUCCCAUCCAAUUCUGUUUUGAGCGACCUGUGCAUGCAAAUUGCCUUAUUUAUUACCCAAAGAUCAAGGUCCUCCAGUUUGUGUGUUUUCUCCAUUCCUUCAAUGUUAUUUGACUUAUCCCCAUAAUUGAUUUCAUCUUUCAACUCUCUUUUUGUUUCUCCCUAUUAGAUUUUUUGCUUUUCCAUCUCUCUAGAGUUAGAUUGCCACUGUGCCAAUUCAAAACAUGUUGCUCUCAUUUCUCCUGUUAUCAUCCAUAGUCUGAGAACUGAUAUGUUUAGAAAAUUGCUUUCUGCUGUUUACCUGCCUUCUUUCCACAAAUACUCUGUGGUAGGACUUUUUCUCCCUUAUAGUCAGAAUACCGUGAAUAAGUGGAGAAGACUCUUCUGGAAUCAGAACUGUUCCUCUCACUAAUCUUCUCUAUAGAGUUUUCCUGCUCUGGGGAAAUGCCAAGUUUCCUGUCCAGUUUGUUUGGGCCAUCAUUUGGCCCCCUGCUCUUGCACCCAGACUGAAGCUGUAGAUGGGGUUGCCAAAGUCUCACAUUAGUGUGGACCUUGCAAUGGCUUUUGAAUUAUGUUAGAUGUUUUUUGCGAAGUCAAGUAUCCCCUUCUUAAGUCUUUCUUCUUUCUUCUUAAGUCUUUCUUCUUAAGAACUCAAAAGAUAUUAUAGCAUAUUAUUUUACGUGUUUCUACUUCUCUCACUGAGGAGAGAGUAAUGAUGAUAUGUACAUGUAAAUAAUGUCCCACUGCAACUGAAAAAUUUGUGAUCAUUUCUCUUCCGUGUUCCCCUUCUGCUAAAGACAUCUUGUAAGAUGAUUUUGGCUAAAAGAGGCCACUAAAAUUUGUCAAUUGAUCCAAUGGGUAUACCUUUGAAUCGCUAUCACAAGCCAGGCCGCUGAGGUAAAAUGGCACGUGAACGCUGCAUGACGUCAUUCACAGGCAUGUCACGGACUGGUGAACGGCAUGAGAACUCCAGCAUCAAAACCCACUGUCAUUGCUUUGCAGUGAGCAUCAAAGGAUCAGAGUACAAGCCCACGAGGCACAGACAGUGCGUCUUAGAGGGUGUCCAGUGACCUGCACUCCCUCUCUAAGCAAUCGAGUCGAUGAGGAUUCUAGGAUCUUCAUAAGAAAAUCAGUUAGAAAAGAAUCCCUCAUCCUCCAAUUCCACCAAUAGCAGCACUGGUUAGGACCUUAGCAUCUGUAUGACAAAAUGCAACCAAAACUCAUAUUUCUACCAUCACAGUUGGUAUUUCUGAGAAUUACAGCUCAGCUAAAUGACUUUUUAUCUCCAUAACCGCUGAUCAUUUACUUUACCUUCCAGAAUUGGUUUCUCCGUAGAAUUGCUAUAAAAAUUAAAUGAGAUAGUGCUUAUGACAGGCCCAGACUAAAAGCUUGCUAAAUGAGUAUUGUUCCUGUAGAUGCUGCUGCUAAUAGUUUGUGACAGUAGUUUCAUAUCUACCAUAUAGCUGAAGGGAUUAUGUACCAAGGCCCAGAAGUUGACAAGUGCAGAAUGACGAUGGGCUUCUUACAUCUUGUCACAAAUAAGCCAGAAACACUUGGUGUUUUGCCUGGCAGGGCAGAGAGUUAAAUUAUGAAACUUGGCUGAGAGCCAGAAGGUGAGGAUAGAGGUGGUGGGAGGAGGAGCAGAAGGCAGAUUUUGCCAAGGGAAGCAGAAUGCAAAGCUUGGGUUGGCAGUGGCAGAAGAGUUUCCUGGAGAGGAUAGCAUCCUGAACUGCAGUUGAUACCUCUGCUUAUAUCCUGGUCCACUUCUCACCAAUGCGUGAGUUCCAGGCCUAUAGUCUACCUGGCGAUCAGUGGCGCUCAGGCCCUCUCCCUUUGCUGUUUGAACCAAAUGAAGAGGGGUGGACCUUUAUUGGGGUGUGCCUGCAUGUGGUAGAGGCUAAGAGGAUUGGUGGUCUUCCACCGAGGCACUAAGAUUACAGCAAAUAGAUUGUGAUUAAAUGAUUCUAGGUGUUUCCAUAGCUCCUAAGUUGAGGGCCUCCCAGAUUCUGAUGGCUGCCAGGUAUCUGUAUAACAGUCCCCAAGAAGGGGAAGAUAGUAUUAUGCACACUGCGCAAACAGGGGCCAUGCAAGAGAGGGGCAUUCAACCACCGGCCUGUGGUCCUGCAAUUAGUCCUCCACAGAGCCGAGUCUGGCCAAGGUCAUGGCAGGCUCAUCUUCUGAAGUUCCCCAUGGUGACUACUGUCACCCUUUCAAUUAAAACUUGAAAUAGCUUUCACUAGGAUAUUGAUAAGAAAAGCAAUUGUCCAGGAGCCAAUAAAAAAGUCAAGUCAAGAGGACGGUAAAUAUUUAAAUGUAAGUCAUAUUUAUAUGUUUUAAACCAAGUAAGGUGCUAGCAAAGCAUUUCUUGUUCUUUAAUUCAGCAAAAUGCCAGGAGGCCAUAAAAUACUGUAUCUUGCAGUCUACUUUUCCUUAGAUAAACAAAAAGCUCUUAUUCUCCAAGUUUCCUUAGUCAAGAAGUAGAAGUGUCAUGUCAAUGAAGUUAACUGUUAAGAACAAAGUGUUUUAACUUCAAAUUGUCAUUCAGGAAAGAAUUUUGAGUACUUCUUUUAAAAAAUUGGCAGUUGUCAUUUAAUAUAUGAUGUGAUCUAAAGGCAUAUUAUUUUUUAAUGUUACCUAGGAGAUUUCAUCAGCUUCAUGACAUUCUUAAUCUUUGGUAUAAUUGUCUAAAUUGAUAGAACAUCUUUUAUUAAACUGAUAGAGACACAUCCUGCACUUUCAUAAGCCAGGUAAACAGGUGUGAUUAUUCAGGGUUCUGAGUUCUCACUUCCUUUGUCUCCCUUUUUUUUUCCAACUCUCCUAAAAUUCUCUGAUAAUGAUGAGUGACAUUGUUUUAAAAGAUAAGAAGCACCAAAAUUAUUUUCUCUCUGACCUUUAUAGUUUCCAGAACAAGUAGUUUCUGUUAGCAAAAUAGUUCAAGCUUUUCUUACAAAGGAUACCUGGCAUUGUUCCAUAAGAGAAACAUUUAUUGUUCCUGAUAAGGAAAGUUAUUAAGCUCUCAUCUUUUCUCAGAAAGCCAUUCAACCAAAAUAAAGUAUUUUAGAACUGCUGAGGAAAAAUCUGAAGGAAAGGACAGAAAAUAUUCCACAGGUUACAUUUUCUGCGAGUACUCAUGUACUCGCAGUACAUCGAUUGUGCCUUCUUAAAACAAAUAAGACAGGUUUCAAGGAUAAUUCUUGGCAGCCUUUCAAUACAAGCAGCACAUUUACACAGCUAAAGUUUAAUGUUUUAAAAGUAAGUUUUGUGAAAAGGAUUAUUGAGAGACUGGGAACAGAAAAAUUACAUAGGGUUAAGAAUUCAUAUAGUAUGUUAACUAUGCUUAAACUACUGACAACAGGCUAUUUCUUCGAUUGAGGAGUUCAGAUUCAGACGCCAUCUCUGUCUAAACCUAAAUCUGUGUGUUUGCAUUAAAAGCGUCACCAGUGUUUGUUCAGAAAGGUAAUGUGUGUUCAAAGGUUCACCCGCUACUGUCAGCUGCCGUCACCAUUUUUUUCUGGGGUUUCAAAACAAACAAGUGUGAUCUAUGUAUCCUUGCAGGUUGCAUAGUCUAUGAAAACAAUAGGACACUGUUGUCAUUAAUUCUCAAGGAACCAUGGACUAAAUGGCUGUGAAGUCAAAGUUACAAUAAAAAGCUCUUCCUUCUUACCAAAAAAGUGGGGGUUGCUUUUGCAGUGUUUCUGAUUCAGCUGGAAGUACAGUGUAUAGUCAGGGAAAAGGCACCAAGUGUAUUAGAGCCACAUAAAAGGAAGCAUACAUUUACAAAUAAUAAGAUUCAUUAAGGAAAAUAAUAGAAGAGACAGUAAUAGUCAUUAACUCUAGAAUUCAUAACUUCAGAUUUCCCAUUCACAAUAAGCUUUGUGGUAUGCCACAGCUUUUAAUAGUCUAACAGCAUUUUUUAAAUUCUUUUCUUAAAAGAUGAUUGGCUUUGAAUGUUAGAAUAUGCAAAUACACAUCAAAGACUGACCAUCUCUUUGUGUUUGGGUAUAUAUUUCUGUAUGGCAUAAUAUUUCCACUUGCACUGGUUUCCUGGCAUGAAAAUGUUUAUUGCACUCAUUAGCUAAGAGGGUAUCGGCACUGGUCCAAUGAACACAGAUCUGCCUUCUGAUUUCAGCCAUUAAAUUGCAAUGGGAUUCACAGGCUUAACAUUGUGGGUGUGAGAAUAAUAAAAUGGAACUCCAUCUUUAGCCCAGUUACCAUGGAUGCAGUUAAAGGUCAUAGUGCCAGCUGCUAACUAGUUGCCUUUUGAGCUGUGUUACCCCUCCUGCUCUGCUUUCCACACUUCUGCUCCUCCAGGUCUGUCACGGAAUACCUUCACCUACCUUGGUGACACACUACCUCUUCUUUAAGACAACAGGCUCCCUCUUUUCAAGACAAUGGUUGCUAUAGACAUCCUCUUUUAUUUAUGUCUAAAAGAUAUGAUAUAGAAUAGGAAGAUAAAGGCCUUAAUAAAAACACAAAUUGCUGUUGCUUCAGCGUCCUGAAUUACUUUCUCAUUUUCUGCAUGCCACUCUACAUUCCCAACCAAAAAGAAGAAAAAAAGUAUAGUAAAUUCCCAUCUCCAUUGAAACUGGUAAUGGGUUCAGGCACUGAUGCAUUCACAACGUGAAACAUCAACUUCUCCUUCAUUCGGCCCAAAGUCCUAGGAGUUAAUUCCCUGUGCUGCAUGAGGUGUCAGGGUAAUUACCGCUGAUCAGCCCUAUUUCUCCGCCGCUGCCCAGCGCCGCGGGCCUCCCUGUUUAUCGAUGCACCGCCACAGCCCCACCGCACUUGCAUUCAGCCAAGCUUCUUAAUCGAAAGGGUUUGGACAAUGUCGGAUUUUCAAAGAAAAGAAGUAGGGAAAAAAAUUAAAAGUAGCCAAGCAAAAUAAAGUGCAUGGUAAGAAAGCUGAAAGCCCUACAAAAUAUUUCCUGAUGUCAACACUUCAUUUCAAUAGAUUUAAAAACUCCUAUUCAUUUCCAAAGGAAGUCCACAAGCCUUUCCCUGGGCAACCUCACCACACGGUCACAUCUAGAAAUAUUUGCCGGACGUAUAGCUUUAAAAAAAAAAAAAAAAAAAAACACUGUGGAAAAGUUUAUUGUCUUUGUUCUAUUUAGGAAUAAGUCCUAACUAUGUGUAGCUCUACAGGCCAGAAUACAAAGAAAUUUACCAAAAAAAAAUGUUGUGCCCCUCUGUUUUAAACAUACAUUUAUAUAACUUGUCAUUUCAUAAAAAUAAAUUAAGUAUUAUAUGAGCCAAAUGUUUCAAUUCCACACGAGAGUGGUUUCUGGGACUCUUGGCAGAAUGCCACUAUAUUCAUUUUUAUUUCAAACACAAUGUGAAGUCUUUAAUUUUAAUAUACUUUGUAACUAUAAUGGUUAUAGGGCAUAUACUGUAUUAAUUCAUCCUCAUCCUUUUCUGGUCCUGGGCGGAUUUCGAGGAACAGAAAGAUGCAUUGAUUUUACGUAUCUUACACACUUUAAAAUACUGUGGGAGAGUGAAGGGGGCGUGCAGACCAGGGAGAAAGAGAAUAUUUGGAGCUGGGCACCAGGGGCUCAGUGCCCUAAAUGCUGACGCUGGCUUUGGCAUAUCAUCCUUCUAUGUCCCUGGUUCCCAAGUGCAAAUGAUGCCAGGCCAGGUAGAAAGGCGAGGCGUGCGGUCUGGAUGGGAGUGGAAGCUGCAUCUGCCACCUGGGGCUCUUGCCCAGCUCCCAAGUCCCUGCGCAUCUCCCCAGGGAGCCAUCUCUCAGCCUCUCACAGCUCUUUAGUCUGAAACAAGGAGGGCAUUGGUUAGUCAGCUGAUGGUGGGAGCCUCUCUGCAACCUCCCCAUGUGAUGACCGUGUGGUCCUGGGCCAAAUUCUUUCUCCACAGCUCCUUUCUUCUCUGGAACUCCACUAGCCAACAGUCAGAGAACUGAGCAGGGCCAGGAACACUGGGAGAAGCCAGCCCCAUUUAAUCCAAAAUACUCUGCCAGCAAAAGGAGAAGCUGACCCCUACAGAGGGAACGGAGUGGCAACGACAAAUAGAUAUGUAAAUCUAUUAAUCCCCAGUGAUAGUGCUGAGGUGUCAGAGCGACCUCAGUAGCAGAGUGGUAUUUCUUCAUUAAAGGGGCUGCUGGAGGGGGCGGAAGAAAGAAGUAAUUUUCAUAAGCCUUAUGACUGUCUUCUUGGGGACACCAGAAUAACAUGUUUCCAGCGAUCACAGAGACUUCAGCUCUCCUCUUCCUCUGCCACACUUCUAAUCAGAGAAUUUCUUCCUGUGCCUUGUUUACUGUUGAUAUUUUCUGGCUGAUUGGAGAGGAAUGACAUUUUGACAAUUUACUGUAGCAGUAAGCACUGUACAAACAAAAGGUGCUGAUGAAAACUGGAACCCAUUAUUAUGUAAAUGAUGGCUGAGUAACACAGAAUCCAUCUCCCAGUCACCAUCAUUGAGACCAGUUUUACUCAAUGAUAAUAAUUUUCGUGAUUGCAGACUUCAGAGUGAUCAGAAAUACGCUUUAGCUGUUGCAUUUAUCUACUGCUGGUACUUGACCCUUAAUUAAAUUCUGAAACUUUUUUAUAUAAUAAAGUAAAAUACAGCUGACACUUCUGUUCAAACAAAGAGGCUCAAAUACAGAGCUACCAAAUAAGAUAAAGGUAUUUCAGACUUACCUCGCUGUAUUUAUAGUAAACACGGAUUGUACAGCGCAUUUUGAAAGCGAGCUUUAAGUUUAAAAUGCAGAUGUGUGUUUUCAAGUAAUUUCAAUUCUGUACUUUGUCGCUGCUCUCCCUAAAUGAUGCUAAAUCUCUGCAAGCUCAUCUUGGACACGUCAUAAUAGAAAAAUCUGCUUGAAAGACAUGUAAAUGUGCUCUGAAAAUAAGUUCUGUGAGUUCUUUAAAUCUUCUGUCUUAAUAUCUAGACUAUUCAAAGCGAGUCUUCAAAACGAUGCCACUUAUUAAGAUCCACACAGCUUGGUAAGCCGGUAUCGAGUUUUGUAAAGGAAUCUUUUCCUCAUAAAUUUGUUCUUGUCUUAAAAGAAGAAAGCCAAGGCAAAUUUUAAAACAGCAUUUUGGCUUUAAUGAAAAAUUGAUUGGCUAAAACAGAUGUCAAAGUGGAAAUACAGGGAGGCAGGCAUUAUGCAGGUAUCAGCUGGCUGUUAAGAAUGGCUGACAGGAGAAGACACUUUGGCUAAUGUGCUCUCACUCUCUUGAAAUCCCGCUAAUGCUUCGGAGCGUUUAUUUACCUUGGAGUUCCCUCACUCUUUCAGGGUAGGAAAAAAGAUCUUCAUUUUGAAUAUGUUAAUAAGUAAAAGUCAGCUUAAAGGGGGCAAUUGUAUGAGCUCGUUUUUAAUAUUUCCUUAGAUAUAACCCUUUCUAACCAGGCAGCUCACUGAGCCAAUGAGCUAAGAAGGUAAUUACUUAAGUGGAUUUCAUGAAGAGUAGAAAGAUGAUUGUGCCACAUUAAAUAACAAUUGUGUCCUUAAUGAUGUGUUGGGCUAUAAUGCAAACAUCCCCCCUCCAUCACUGGCAGGGGCUCUGGUGUACCUUUCUAAUGACUCCCAGGGCUUCCAGCCCUUGCCACGGCUCCUGGGGCUCUCAGAGCCUAUGUAAACACCAAGGGAGCAGGUAUAUUUUUUUAGAGUGCAGUGCCUGCAGCUGCGUGGUCAUUGAUAAAUUGGCUAUGAAUUGCUGAAAUACUUCAUAUGAAUAUAAACAUUGUUGUAGCUUUGUAGCUUGAGAAAAGGAAGAAAGAAAUGAGAGAGAAGACUGCAGUUCCAGAACACAACCUUCCAGAGGUUUCCUUCUUUGUAUAAUGUGAAGGUCCCGUUUACAUGAAAACCAGCACAAUGGUCCCAAAAAGUGUGAGGGGGAUGUGAAUGCAGUGGAAAAAUUUCAUUAUUAAAAGGAGCUUUUUUUACAGAAACUGACUAAAGUGUGGUUUUACGUUUAGGUAUCUCUCUUGCAUAGAAGCAGGAAAUAAUAUUACAGUGUGUUAGAUUUUGUUGCCUUAGAAUGUAUAGCUCUCUGAGCGUCUGCGUCCGCUCCACUGUUUGUAGAGACACUGAGGAAGGGCCAUCAUGAUAAAUAGAUCCAAACUGAACUGGGAUUCACAUGAGGAAGAAUUUUCACAGUGAUGUAAACUUGAGAGAGAGAGAGAAAAAAACAUGAAAAGGAUAAUUAGCUCAUGGCUAUAAAUUUUCUUGACUGCUCUUGGAUUCCAUUAUAAUGACUAUUUCCCAUAUAGCUCAUAAUAGUAUCUCUUUGUAGACAUGCACAUUGAAUCUUUACGAGAUCAUUAUUUCUUGAUGUUAAAAUUAAUAAAUUUGAUUGAUAUGUUCAAAUGAAAUGUACAAAAUGCAAUAAACAGUCCAAACGUGGAGAAAAUACUUUUCAUUAAAUCCUAUUUGAUUGUCGUUGUACCCAUUUCAGAGAAGAUGGAAAUAAGAUACCUAGAAUCAGAAAACUCCUCUGAAGGUACUGUGGUAAUUGAAACGAAUAAAUCUCUUACGGCUUAUCUUUUGGUUUGUUCAUUUGUUUCAUUCAAGGAAAGCAGACAUCUGGAUAAGAACAGAUUACUGAAAUGGAGAUUUAGUGCUGCAGGAAAACCAUGAUCUCAUGUUGAAAGAUACUGUGUUAUUGUUCCUAGAAUGGACCUUGGAAAUAAUUACCACAAAUUCAAACACUGUAGUCAGGAACGAAGCCCCUGUCAUGUGCCAAGCCUGUAGCUUUGCAGGUAUGAGAACACAGCCCCUGCGCAUGAGAAGGAGGGCGAGGAGGCCGCAGUGUCUGGGUCCUGUGCCGAGACCAUCAGGUGCUGCCUUAUUUGAUGCUUCCUCCCUGUUCACAGCUAUCUGUGAGAUAGAGUAUCGGACCCCCAGGAGGCUGCAUAACUCUCCCACUUUCUCAGAGCCUUAAUCUAACCCAGGUCUGUCAGAUUCCAAAGCAGGACUUGUUUACAGCAUGGUCGUGAUCCAGUGGGUGAGAGAGACCAGUCAACGCUGAAGUCCAGAUGGGAUCAUGAGCCCUCAACCAAGCGCUGCGGGCAGCUCGAGAGAAAGCAGUGCAACAACACAAAGGGAACAGAGGCCCCCUCUCAUCUCCAGCAUCCUUUUCAAACCAAGUACCAGCUGCGAUGUAAGCAGCUAUAUAAGCAGCUCAAACAGGACACUAAGGAGUCUAAUUAUUCAGCAAGUAUUCCACACUGAACUGAAAUAGUUAAGUAUUUUGUGCCCAUUUUACAGACAAGAGAAAUAAAAUGCAUAAAGUAAAUUAUUUCUCCAAAGCUAUAAUAAAUGAAUUCUAUAGUCAGAAAUGAGAGAAAAGCUAUGGGCACUUCCAUUGGUGCUGGGGGUAAGUGCCUUCCCUUGUCACCAUGUCUGAGUCUCAGGUAGGCUUCCGAGGUUUAUCUGCCAUGAUUAUUUCAGUGACAUUCUCAGGUGCGAAGAACCAAGUGCGAUACACAAACACAGACUGCCUCAAAAUAUCUUGGACACACUUUUUUUUAAAGGGGAACUCCACCUGAAUUAUAAUAGCCAAUCACUCAGAGCUUCUUAUGUGCCAGCCACUGUUCCAAGUGUUUGAUGUAUAUUAACUUCUCAAAAUGACCCUUAAGUUAGGUAUUAUUAUUUUCCUCCCCAUUUCACAGAUAAGGAAACUGAGCCAUCAACACUAGGUGACUUGCUUUAGGCAUUCGUCUGGAGAGUGGAGGGCGGCGUCUGCACCUGUGAUGGGUUUCCCAGCCUGGACCACGGAACCACACUGCCUCCUGCGAAAGCAACGAUGGUCGGUCAGAGUGAGCCUUCCCAGACCAUGGGCAGCAUGGAGGUUAUAACCAUUGAUUAAAACCCUAUUGCGAAUAGGCUAAAUAUUUAUUCCUUUUACUACAACAUAUUUGGGUGCUUUUAUUUUCUCAUGAUGCAUGUACAGAAUUCAACUUACUGUCCACAAAAUUUGCUUCCUUCCUCAGACAGAAAUUCAAAAAUAUACAGACUUAGUUCCAGUGACAUCUGUGCUUAUACAUAUCAUAUUUAAUUGUUUCUAUCUUGUAGCCAAAUCUAUUAUCUAACUUUUUGAAGCCAACAAGCCAAUUUAUAUGAAAUAUAUUUGCAAAAACAUUUUAUUCUUGAAGCAGUUCAGGAAGAGAUAUGAGUAAAAUAAAAUAUCAAAGGAAGAUAUGAAAUUAUUUUGGGUGAAGUUAUAAAUCAUAGUACUCACUCAAAACACUUGAGAAAGUGAACUUUUCCAUCUUUCAGUGAUUUCUGAAUUUCUCUAUGUCCUCAGGCGGCUCUGGGAGAGGGCCCAGUUUUCCCUUGCAGUUUCCAGAGUGUGUGACGACGUUCUCCCUCCUUUGCCACCAAGAAGGAACCACACCCUUUACCUCUUUCCCACGUAGUCCCUCAGACCUAGACGCAGUGACGAUGGCCCCUCGCCCUCAGGAGCUGGCCAGGGCACCUGCUUCAACGUGCCCUCUGCCCGGCAGGGCAACGACGUACAGAACCUUUCAGGGCGACGUACAGAACCUUUCCACCUGGAGCACAGCGUCUGUUUGCAUGUGACGGGAGUAAAGGUUUGUGAUAUAUACUUGUAAUUUGUAAUACAUAUUUACUGAGCUACCACUGUGUCCCCAACACUGUGCACUACCUGUCCCUCCCUGGAGUAUGCACGGUGAUUUCAGAGCAGCCCUCUUUCUGAACCCAGAGGGCUCAGCCUGAGGGCUUCGCUGGCCUGAAGCUCCUCUACGGCUUAUGUGAAGAUGCGCCUCCUUGAAAUGCAAACGGCAAUCAUAAACUACCUCAAAGCCACUUUGCUUUCUUACACAAUGGUGCUCUCUAAUUGGGUUCCCAGGAAGCAGACACAGAGAUGGUGUUUACGGUGCAGGAGGGUUAGUGGGGAGAUCAUAGGGAUCAACAGGGUAGGAGGGAAGGAAAUGAAGCAGGGCUAGGCGCCGGAGAAGCUGGGCUGGCAGGCAGUGUCAACAAAGUGCCAGCAGACGUUGGGGAGUUUCACAGCUAGAAGGGCCCUUCAGCGCUGUCCCAAGGUAGAGCAAGGAGGUCAGGUCUUGAAAACCCUACAUCAACUCAUCACUAUAUGGGAUGCCCCAGAAGAGGCGUGAGCUUGGGCAAAGCAGCCCUGUCCAGCCAAGGACGAUUUCAGGAAAGACUGACAGCUGAGAGGUGUCUGCUAUCACCAUCCCAGCUGGUGGAACCGAGGGAUGUGCGAGCACAGCACAAUGUGCACUACACUCUCCACAUCUUAUCUUAAACCUAGAAUCCUGGGCUAUCUAUAUUACUGAAUGGCAAGCAAAUGAAUCCAGAGACUUAGCAACUCUUCAAGUAGGACAGGAUCUUAGAGGCACCCAAGUUAUCAUCCUCUCAGUGUAGGAAUUACUCCUGCAAUGCCCCAGGCAGCACGUCCUCUGUUUCUAUUUGGAUACGUCCAGGGGCAGGAGAUCCUUGUUGGGAAGCUCCGGUUGUUACAUCGGUUUCUCUUAGUUUGAGCCAAACCUUCUACGUAUAAAUCACUCUUUGAUAGUAGUGCUUAUGAUGACAAAUUAUUGACAGUGUAGUCGAACCUAGCAAAGAGCAGUAUGUUUGUGCAAAUUCAUUUGGACCAAGGACUGAAAUAAGGGAGUUGAUAUUCAUUCGUUUUCUUUAAUUUACUCUACAAGCUCUUUUCCACAGAGUAGUGAGAGUGAUCUUUUUUAAACAAAGGUUGAAUUAGGUCUCUUCUAUGCCCAAACCCCUCCACUUGGAAUGAAGCCCACAGGCCUUGCCCUGGCCUACAACUCCCUGUCUUCGGGAGCCCUCAGCUGCUACCCACCACCUCUCUCCUCAGCCACUUUGCUCUCUUUAAAGUUCUACAGACACUCCACCUUGUUCAGCAGCCGGCUUUUGCACUUGCUGGGACAUCUGCCCUCAACGUUCGGCCGCCAGACUUUUGUGAAGGUCCAUUCAAGUCCCAACUUCUCAGAGAGACUUCCUGACACACCAUCUCAGGAGGGCUCCUGGCCCCCUCCAUCCUCUCUUCUGCUUGCUUUCUCUUUGUAGCCCUCAGUAAUUCCUGAGAAGGGAAAAAAACACCGCAUAUUCUAAGUGAUAUUCUCUGUGGAAUGAAGCUUCAAGUUCAAUAGUUAACAUAAAACAAGUGUGCACUGCCUCAAAAGAAAUAGUGUGGGUGGUGUUUGUAAGGCGCUGGCCUUCUUUGAAAGGAAGAUCUUUCUGCCAAGCAGCCCCACCUGGUGACACUGGACCAUGGGGAGGCAGGUGAGUGACCCACAGGACCCAUCUCUCAGGUGGCCACUCAAGCCCUUGCUGGGGGUGAGGGAUUGCAAUAGGAACAUGCCCAGAUUUUAUCAGUAGCAUUUUAGGACACAAAGAGUUCCCUUGUAAACUUUAACUUGCACUUGGUCAUAUAUUCUGCAUAAAUAUACAAACAUUUUUCCGUUGAAGAAAACCUGGUUUCAUUAUCUCAGUCUGUCAUCUCUGGACGGUCCCCUCACCCCUCCUGAAAUAGGAAUCUUGCCGAGCUUCUUUACCAGCAUGUACCGCAGUCCUCAGAAUCAGAGAAACAUUGUAAGGCAUUGUAAUCAGAUUUGAAAAAAGGCCUGUGUUUAAAACUCCUGUCUCCUUCAGAAGCUCCUUGGUUCUUGGCCUUGGCUUGGGCCACAUUUUCAAAAACAACAACAAAACCCCCGGCAUAAACCUGAAUAUUUCGUCAACUCUUAGAUGCUUUACGUCUGUAUUUUUGAAAAAGGAAUCUUAAUAUUUCAAGAUUGUUUCUCUUCUCAUGCAAGGUAAAUGGGGACCGACCAGUUUAAAUGGGAGGAGUAGAGCGAAGACAGUGACAGGAGGGAGAACGUGGACAGCACCCUGAAAUGUCAUGCAUGGUAGGGGUGGGGGCACAGGGGCUUUCCUAAGUCUAACCGUGGAAAUUCAGCCUUGAGUAAAUCCCAGAGCUUUAAACUGCGUCUGUGCAUUUGUUCAACUUAGCGACAAAGAAGAAAGUUGCACAAGCAGAUACUUUAGGACUGUUCACAGCGUGGAGAUUUAACAAGGAUCCCGAAGCUCUAGGCACACAAUGACUGCUGCCGGGAAGUAGCUGCAUUUGCAGCAUCCCCUUGACAUCUGCCUCAUUUCAAUAAUUUCCAGCCAUUGAACCUCUGUCUGAAUGAGCAUUAGGAAACAGAGGCAUGUUUGGUUACUAAUUUGAGUCUCUCUCUUCUCUCUCCAGUUUGAAUUUUAUGCUUGUGAAAGGGCUCAGUUGAUGAGUUCGAUGUCUGCAGUUUUCUGUCCAUAUGACCGACACAUUCUCACCAUCUCCCUGUAUAUCAAGGUGAGGAAGGGAAGCCCUGCUGUGUGUCUGCCUUCUCCUUCUUCAACAGUGAGCAUCAGCUGAGUGGUGUGGACAUUUCUCUUUUAAGAACUAAGCUGAGACUAAAUCUCCAUUUCAUAUAUGGCUGUGCAGAGGUCGUCCAAAAUCUCUCCCAGGUGAGGUAAUGCUCUUCAGUUAUCACAAAUCUGGAUUUGAAACUGGGACCCACCAGUUUGCCCCAUGCAAAGAACAAGUGCUCGGAAGUUGAACGGCAAUAAGAUGUGUUGAGAUGCUCUAACCAGCCUGGGAGGAGCGGAAUAUAUCACCUGUGGGUGAGACCCACCUUGCUAUCUACCAGCUUUGCCAGUGCUCUGAUAUGGAAAUGUCUUGGGACAAAAGCUGGCAGGAGGAAAUCAGGUAUAUCUGCUAGACUAAGACUCCUAACACCUGCUUGUGCAGUCUGUCGUUCCCACCCACUCUACCCUUUGUCUCACGUUGUCAGUCAGCGUGGUUGGACCAUUCAGAAGAAUCUUGAAUACUCGUAGUCAUCCUAAUUCGCUAAUAUAUAUUCACUAAUGUCAGAGAUCUGUACAUGUGAUUCCUGAGCCUAUUACAGUAACAAGUUGCUCCAAUGCUACUGGGCAUAUUCUUUAUGUCUUCUUUUCCAGACUACUGACUCAAUUUAAGAUUACAUCCUCUGCUUCUUUGCUUUUAUUGCAUUUGCCCUGUAAAACUCAUUCCCUUCACAGUAUAAGACAUCUGGAGACGGGGGGCAUUCCAAGACUGGACAUAAGGCAUGUUUGAUUCUGCUUCCUUAACAUGAUCCACUCUUUCUACGAUCUGCGAAACUCCCCAGCAUCCUGUCACCGUUCCUGGGAUCCAGGAAUAGAGUGUUGGAACCUGCUUAAGUAUUAAUUGUCUGGCAUUGGAAGAUUUUUCUUUCAACCACAUUCAGGCUGCUACCUCUGCAGAGUGGCAUGCAGUGCCUCACUGCAUCACUUGAGGAAAGAAAUGGUAAAUUAGGUAGGUUUUAAAAUUGCCCAUUGAACUCACAUCAUUAAAUAAUUCUAUAAGAAAUUCAUAAGCGGAGAAAGUAGGAAGAUUAAAAUGCUAUAAAUUAUGUGUGUGGGGUAGGGGGGAGUAUACACUUAUUUUGCCCUUUGUUCUGGCCACAGAACACUCAGAGCUGGCACGGUUCUGCCCACGGCUUAACAAUAAGCACCUGAAAGGAAGCGUGACCCCUGAGUGCCCCCAAAAGGGGGAUUAUUGUAACAGCAUUUCGCUCAUCUCUAGGAACUGGUUUAAAACACCUUUGCGUCACUCAGGUUACACUUGUUCCAGUGAGGCAUUAAAGUCUCUGUCUUCCCCUCUGACUUUCCUCCUUCUUGGUGCUUUCCCUUCCUCAAUUCCUAUCCUAUCCAGCAGCAAGGAUAUUCACCCCAAAAUGCCAAGAACGUUCUAGCCACAGCUGUUCUUUGGUAUUUUUCUCCACCAUUAUUCUUGGUCACUCCAUCCUAUCUCUGUGGCAAGUGUUCAUCCUAAUCACCCUCCUUUUCUCUGUUUCUACCUGGUCUGUAUUCUUCAUGAACACAAGGGCAGUUCUACUUUCAAACCACUGUGCCUCAGCACACAAAAUAGUGCCUGGCCCAAAAGGAGCGCUCUCGUUACCCAAGGCUGUGCAGCAGAUCACUCCAAAAUGUAGCUGUUUAAAGCAACAACAAUUAUCUUACUAUGUCUCACAGGGUCUGUGGGUCAGUUGAAUUAGAGAAAGGCUAAUUCCCGACCCAUAGUCUCAGUGGUUCUGCCUAAGGGGCUCCCGUGCAGUUGCAGGAGAUAUAACAGCUAGGGACUAUAUGGGCAUCUUUUUCUCUUACAUAGUCUCAGGGCCUCUCAGUUUGUCUCUCUUCAUCUGGCUAGUUGGGCUUCCUUACAGCAUGGCCAUCUCAGGCCAGGAGGACUACUUACACGGCAACUGAAGGCUUCAAGACCAAGCAUUCCAACAGCAAGGCAGAAGCUAUGAAGACUUUUCUGACCUAAACUUGGGAAUCACACAGCAUCAUUUCUACUGCAUUCCGUUAACUAUAAGUGAGUCCCAAGUUUAUCCAGAUUCUAGGAGAAGGGAAUUAGAGUCUACUUCCUGUUGGGAGUGGGGCAGGUUCUAGAAGAUCACUGGGGACUGGAGAUAAUGUUACAGCCAUCUUUGGAAAAUACAAUCCACCAAAGAAAGUGCCCGAGCACUGGCUGUGAAAGUAAAUAAAUGUCUCAAUUUUUUCUUCACUCCAUGUGCUUUAUCCAUCUAACUUUUCUAUAUUCUUACCUACUAGAAAGAUUCUGUUAAACUUAGAUUUCUGUAAUUUGUCUUAAAGAUGAGUCUAGAAAAUAUAAUACACCCCCCCUCACCUCAGCAGUCAUAACCCUCCCCACUUCCACCCUAAUCAAAAUCACUUAAAGAAUUUAUAAAUUUCCUUUGUUCAUCAUUUUCAGACUUCUGUUUUCAUGCUUAAUCUCUCCGAAGGCAUGCAUUUUGGUAUCUCUGUUUGUGGCUCCAUAAGCUACUAGAUGCAAUUAAUUAAUUUAAGUUUAGCAUGCCUGCACUAAACUAUUUUCUCCAUAAGCUUCUCUUCUUUAUCCACUUCUCAAAGAAGACUGCUAUGAGUAAGGAUUGCUCAAUUCCUUGCACAUCCAUGUUCAUAGCAGCAUUAUUCACAAUAGCCAAAAAAUGGAAGCAAACCCAAGUGGCCACCGAUGAAUGAAUAGAUUAACAAAACGUGGUCUAUACAUACGAUAGAAUACUAUUCAGCUUUAAAAAGGAAGGGAAUUCUGACACAUCUUACAACAUGGAUGAACUUGAGGACAUUAGGCGGAAUGAAAUAAUCCAGGGAAUCUAUGCAGAAUAUGCCUCAGAGUGAUCCCUUUUUGUCCUUCUGGUCCUUCACUCUGUUGCUAACAUCCGGAGAGUCUCACUUCCCCCAUUUUGGUUCUCUGCUCUUCCAACACUUAUAUAGCUAUUUUGUUUAUUAAGAACCCUCUAUCUGAAAUACCUAGAGUGGGACCAGCUGAGUUUGUGCCGGCCCCUUCUCCACAGACAUGCUGAUCCUGACAUCAUCAACCCACUGAACCAAUGACAGCAUGUAUCUCUCUCCAGACAUCAUACAACAUAAGAAAAUUAUUUACUUAAUUUGCUUUAUUUAUUUAAUCUACUGUGACUGAGGUUUUAUUUUGUCUCUAAAGAAUCCAAAAGAUUGUCUAAACAAAGUUAGCCUAAAAGGAAAAUAAAGUCAUGUAAAAAAGAAAAAGCUUAACAUGUAUACUGUACUUCAUUCAAUCAUCUCUCUUCAUUUAUGUACUAUUUAUUUGUUUUCUUGUUUUCAGCAGCAUGUGUGAUGGACUGUUCAUUCACUGGACAAGUAUUUGUUUCCUAAUGUGUCAUAUACUGUCCAUCACAUAGCUAAGAUUGUAAGGGAGACAGACAUCUAAAGAGUUUAUUUCUGCUUCCACUUCUUUUUGAAACAAACUGAGCUGUUCUGUUCCAUGUAACUCCACACUCUCUUGGACCCUGGGCGUGUUCUUCUGGACAAUCACUGGAGCACAAGAACCAACUCAAGCCACAGAAGCACAGUUAAGGCUUGUAUCAUAAUGACUAACAUUCCAUCGGCCAAUGCAAAUCAUGUGGCCAACAUGAAUGGGGCUAAAAAGUGUUUCUUCCCACAAGCGGAGGGGAAAGGGAGUGCUGAAAGAUAAUUCUCAAACUUUAACAUGCUUCAGAAUUCCCUGGAGGUCUUGUUAAACUAGACUAUAGGGCCCCAUCACCAGAGUUUCUGAUUUGGUAGGUUUGAUGUGGGGCCUGAUAAUUUGCAUUUCUAACAAAUUCCCUGGUGAUGCUGAUGCUGCUUGUCUGGGGACUACACUUUGAGACUCAUUGAUGGGAAUUAUCACAGUUGGUAUCUAGAGAUACCACGCAACGUCUAAGAGAAAGUGGGGAACAGGAGAGUGUGAUAUGCAAAAGGAAAGAAAACCAAAAAGGAUUGAAGUCUUGGGAAUACUCUCUGUGAGAAAAUGCAAAAGUAUCUUGGUUAAUUAGCCCAAAGAAGGGCAGCUAAAAGAGAACUUAAUAAGAGUCUUCAAGUGUGCUUUGGGAUAUGAGCAGCUAUUUUUCUGAGGACAGGAAAAGGAUGCCAAAGCACCAGGAGAGAUUCAAGGAAGCCAUGAGCAAAAACAGCCCAUCUUCAAGGCUGUAGACAUGACAUGUACCCUAAGGACUCAGAGAAUCAGAAUUAGAUUGUUUAAAGCAUGAAUCAUUUCUUUUCUUUAGUUUUUUGACUUUUGUUGUACACUAAAGCAAAAUUAGAAUUGUCUCUGAGGGUCCGUUUUGGUCCUAUAACUCUGACAGGAGGAUAACAGAAACAACAGUAAGGAAGGAGACAGAAGUAGUCAUCUUGAGGAAAGAGUGCAUUCAAAGAUGCCUCGAAUAGAUUUUUCAUGAAAGCAAACAUUUCUUAAUUUUGCUGUCACCCCUAACAUAUAAUGAACCUCAUCCCUUGGGAAGAUGAUCUUUUCAGGGAGACUGAAAAGAACAUAGCAAAAGCCAGAAGACCUGGCUCUGAAUCUAGAUUCCACCAUGUUUUUGUUGAUUGGUUAAUUACCUUAAUCUUUUCGAGUUUCAGGUUUCUUGCCUAUAAAAUGAGAAUAAUAAUAUCAAUAACACUAGGGUGUUGCAAGGAUCCAAAGAGGUAGUAAAUGAGAAAUUGCUUUGCAAACCAUAGAAUGCUGGUUUUGUGAUGAUGUGAGAAACAGUAAGGUGGGAGGCUGCCCAUCACAGGUUGCUGUACUUUUCCAGUUGGAAUUUCAAGAGUUAGUAGGAGGCUGAUUUGUUUUUUGACCUCAGAUGAUGAAAGUUCAGUUAAUUGGAUUCUUAGCUAAGGCAUGUGAUGAACAUCCAUUGGUACAAGGCUCUUCUCUUGCUUUAUGAUUUUCCCUUUAACCUCAUUCUCAAUCUUAUCCUCCCCUCCCCCACCUCACAUAUGGUAUAUAUCCUUGAUAUGCAUAAAUCUUUGAAAUAUAAUAUUUUUAUUUAUCUGUGUAUGAUAUUGUGCUUUAGAUCUUGCUCUACGUUUUACUCAACACCAUGUUCGUUCCAAUCUAUCCAUUUAGCAUUAUAUACCUCUAGUGACUGCUACAGUAGGAAUUCUUUUUUAAUUAGAUUCUUGAUGUAAAUAAGAAACUUUUUGUUUUGCCAAUUAAGGACAUAGGACAAACAAAUAUCUACCAUCUACACUUCCUAUCAUUUCACCAAAAACUUCUAAAGGAUGGACUUUCCAGCUAAAGGGCAGUGUUUAUGUUGAGUACAUCCAGACCAUCUAGUUUUGUGGGAAACCUCACCCAUCACUCUUGUUUGUGGACUAGUGAAGAUGUAUCAUGGGCUGGAAAUGGGAACAAGUUGGAGCUCAGCAAAAGUUUUCCGUAACGUGCUAUGUAGUAACAGUGUAGACUUCGUAGGCCCAGAGCUGGAUCACGGGCAGUUGUGCAAGGCCCACAUUUAGAAGGGCCCUGUGCUUGGUUUAAUGCACUGCUGUC